GUUUUGCAUUCCCGCCGACCAAAAAGAUUUCAAUCGGAACCCUUCGCCGUUAUUUCGAUGGAUUCGCCACAGCAGAUAUCCGACAGCUGCGAACACAUUUCUUUUUCUGGACAAACUUAUCGUUACAAAACACAGCCAAAACAACCAGUUCUGGGGCCAUUCGUCGCUUUUACAUUGCCAUCAAAUCGGCGCGGUUGAUUACAGAAAUCUGGAAGCAGCCCUAGCAAAGGAAGGACUGUCCGUGAUGGCAAGAUAAACGUAUAUUCGAUGGACGAGGCACUGGCAUCGUCUGUAAAGCAGUCAGCGCGCGACGAUAGAGUUGUACAUCCCGAGGUGCUGCAGAGUGCAGGAGCAGCACGACAUUAUUAGCGGAGGAUCAAGCAGAUUGCGGAUUAGGCCCAUCGCAGUUACUAUCAAUUGCAUCAUUUUUGAAGAAAACGGAACGUUUUCCGAGCACUCAACCGGCGAUGAGUAAACCGACACCAAUGAGGAUGCCGAUGGUAUUGGCAACGGUACGAAGAAAACCACCCAGAUUCAUUCGAUUCAAAUUCGUUUCAAGCUCGAAUUUGAGUCAUUAGCUAGGAAGCCGGCAUCAUCGGUGGAGGAGCGAUUUCGAACGGUUGAUUCACGCGGAUGGCGAGCUGGAUGGUAAAAAACAACGAGGGAACGAAAAUAUGUGUGUGGAUAAGGAACAUUAUAUGAGAGACUGCAAGCUCAAGUGACGUCGUACGAAUCCAGGAAAAGUUAGCAACAGAUGGGCCACGAAAAGGUUAUCAAAUAAUACUCGGAUUAGAAGGGUCCAUUGGCAUUCGGAAAAUUUCUUGAAGCUACCGGUCCCGCGGCAUUCGGAAGAAUAUAACAAAAUAGGAGUUGUGCCCUGUUCGAGUGCGACCGAAGAUUCGUCCUUUUUCGACUACAAGAUCAACACGGAAAACAUACACGAGCAUGUCUGGAGUCAUUGAAGUACAUGUAAAUACCAUGACCAGGAGGUAAAAAGGAUCCGCUCCGCUGUCCGAAUAAACCGAAGUUGUGGGCUCAUGUGUUGCUGCUGAUUUAGAACGAUGGAAACUACCUGUGGCUGUGGGAGGUAAAUCAGUUAGUUCAACGAAUAUUACAUUCUAAGGAGAUCCGAUUCGCGAUGCAAGUCUAUUUUGCAGUCCACAGUUAAAACUACGCAAUAUGCUUCCGCUUGGUUCGACAAAUUACUUAAAAGAAUGCAUUCUGUCAUGGUACUUCAAAUUCUAAUCCAUAUAUUUACCUUGGAUACUAUGUUGAGGGGGUUGAGGGCCAGCAUGUACCGGACACUUACCAACUUCUUAUUGGAGCACCUGACCGGUUUAUUAGCCUUCGAAAACACUG